UACGAGGGGGGCGAGCGUUGUUCGGAAUUAUUGGGCGUAAAGGGUGCGUAGGCGGCCUGACAAGUCUGAUGUGAAAUCCCUGGGCUCAACCCAGGGCCUGCAUCGGAAACUGUCGGGCUUGAGUAUGGGAGAGGUGAGUGGAAUUUCCGGUGUAGCGGUGAAAUGCGUAGAUAUCAGGAGGAACACCUGUGGCGAAAGCGGCUCACUGGACCAUAACUGACGCUGAUGCACGAAAGCUAGGGGAGCAAACAGG
rnacentral:rRNA from 1 species